rnacentral:rRNA from 1 species
UGGGGAAUAUUGGACAAUGGGCGAAAGCCUGAUCCAGCCAUGCCGCGUGUGUGAAGAAGGUCUUCGGAUUGUAAAGCACUUUAAGUUGGGAGGAAGGGCAGUAAGCGAAUACCUUGCUGUUUUGACGUUACCGACAGAAUAAGCACCGGCUAACUCUGUGCCAGCAGCCGCGGUAAUACAGAGGGUGCAAGCGUUAAUCGGAAUUACUGGGCGUAAAGCGCGCGUAGGUGGUUCGUUAAGUUGAAUGUGAAAGCCCCGGGCUCAACCUUGGAACUGCAUCCACAUCUGGCGAGCUAGAGUAGGGCAGAGGAUGGUGGAAUUUCCUGUGUAGCGGUGAAAUGAGUAGAUAUAGGAAGUAACUCCAGUGGCGAAGGCGACCACCUGAGCUCAUACUGACACUGAGGUGCGAAAGCGUGGGGAGCAAACAGG